CCUACGGGUGGCAGCAGUGAGGAAUAUUGGUCAAUGGACGCGAGUCUGAACCAGCCAUGCCGCGUGCAGGAAGACGGCUCUAUGAGUUGUAAACUGCUUUUGUACGAGGGUAAACGCAGAUACGCGUAUCUGUCUGAAAGUAUCGUACGAAUAAGGAUCGGCUAACUCCGUGCCAGCAGCCGCGGUAAUACGGAGGAUUCAAGCGUUAUCCGGAUUUAUUGGGUUUAAAGGGUGCGUAGGUGGUCGGUUAAGUUAGAGGUGAAAUCCUGAGGCUCAACUUCGGAAUUGCAUUUGAUACUGGCCGGCUAGAGAGUAGUUGAGGUAGGCGGAAUGCAUGGUGUAGCGGUGAAAUGCUUAGAGAUCAUACAGAACACCGAUUGCGAAGGCAGCUUACCAAGCUACCUCUGACGUUGAGGCACGAAAGUGUGGGGAGCAAACAGGAUUAGAUACCCGGGUAGUC
rnacentral:rRNA from 1 species